rnacentral:rRNA from 1 species
UCCGGUUGAUCCUGCCGGCGGCCACUGCUAUCAAGUUCCGACUAAGCCAUGCGAGUCAAGGUAUCGUAAGAUGCCGGCGAACUGCUCAGUAACACGUGGAUAAUCUAACCUUGAGUAAGGGAUAACCUCGGAAAACUGAGGGUAAUACCUUAUAAUUGCUUGAAACUGGAAUGUUCAGGCAAUAAAAGUUCCGACGCUCAAGGAUGAGUCUGCGACCUAUCAGGUAGCAGGUGGUGUAAUGGACCACCUAGCCUAAGACGGGUACGGGCCCUGGGAGGGGUAGCCCGGAGAUGGACUCUGAGACAUAAGUCCAGGCCCUACGGGGCGCAGCAGGCGCGAACACUGUGCAAUGCGCGAAAGCGCGACACGGGGAGCUUGAGUGUCUUGGCAUAGCCAAGACUUUUCUCAUUCCUAAAAAGCAUGAGGAAUAAGUGCUGGGUAAGACGGGUGCCAGCCGCCGCGGUAACACCCGCAGCACAAGUGGUGGUCACUUUUAUUGAGCCUAAAGCGUUCGUAGCCGGUUUUGUAAAUCUUUAGAUAAAUCCUGAAGCUUAACUCCAGAAAGUCUAAAGAGACUGCAAGACUUGAGAUCGGGUGAGGUUAAACGUACUUUCAGGGUAGGGGGUAAAAUCCUGUAAUCCUGGAAGGACGACCAGUUGGCGAAAGCGUUUAAACUAGAACGACUCUGACGGUAAGGAACGAAAGGCUAGGGUAGCAAACCCGGAUUAGAUACCCGG